GCGGGAAUAGCUCAGUUGGUAGAGCACGACCUUGCCAAGGUCGGGGUCGCGAGUUCGAGUCUCGGAUUAUGCG
rnacentral:tRNA from 1 species